UUUCAAAUUCCUCCGGUUUGAAGAGAGUUCUCGAAAAGCUCCGUUUUCGUGACGGAUUAGUGUUGACGGUAGGCCAAACCGGAGAAAUCAAGCUCCGUUUUCAAAUUCCCCCUGCGUAGCUAUAGUGUGGGACGGGGUCUAGGAUUCCUCGUCGUGUUCCCAUGGGUGACUCAUGGAAUGUAGUUUCUAUUAAUGAGCAUUUCUGUUUGCAAAUUUACAGCAAAUUAUGCAUGCUACUUUUAUUUUCUCACCAAGCUUUCUCUUUCGAGAAAGAACGUUGUCGUUGAAGUCGUUCAAGCUACGGACGCAGUUUUUCAAAAGACAUGGAUUUACAAAGCUUCCCUUGAAGACAAACAGUAUUUGGAAAGCUUGUCAACAAUCAAAUUCGCUAGCUUGUCCAGUUUUGUUGCGGGAAAGCGAGUUAAUUUGCCACCCAGCAGUUGGAACAAGAAGCACUCGCGGCCCUGAUGCAAACAAAAGUACAACAAUCUCUUUUUGCUCAACAAAUUUGAACAGGUAAGACUUUAUACUUGAUAUCUGUUAAUAUUUACUAAGAGAGGAUUUACAAGCACUAGCGCCUUAUUCCGUAUCCACCAGCCUUCUUUAGACCUCAACUGUUGGUCGAGCUGAAUUGGUUCUCGGCCGACUCUUUCGUUGGAAUUCUAAGCUUAGUUUCAAUUCUACUCCUACAAUAUCUGUGAUUCCACUAUAAUGUAUGACAACUGUUUCAAAGCCUUCGAAGAUGAACGUACACAGAUACUUUUCAAGAAACUCAUUGUCAAAGUACCGUUGCAUUCCGACAAGCCCUGGACUUCUCUUUGUUUAAAUUAAACGGCUUUAGGGUAUGGGAUAAUUUUCGCAGGUUUUUUUUAUGGAAGGGAAUUUAAUAUUUCAAAAUGCUUCGGCUUAAAAGCCUAAUCUGACGAACAGACUUUUGGUUUACUGACGGUUUGUUGUCUAAGUAUUUUUGGCUUUGGUGCUAGAGGUUUGAUAAUUGUUGGGAUGAGAGAGGGCUUGGGUCCACAUUAUCGAAGUUUUAAGAAUAUUCGGAAUAUCUUAUAAAAUGGUAUUUAUUUUCUCGUGCUUAAAAGUAUGAUAUGCCAUUGAUCGUGUGUUUUUGUAUACAUGUAUCUUUUUUUGAUGGACCUUGUUAGUCGUCUGCUAGUCAAGAAGCUGUUUACUGAAGACUGAAGCAAGCCAUGAAAUUCUUCAUUUUCUAAGGCAUGGCGAGUUGUGAAUUUCACUGCCCUGUUUUCGAUCGAUGCAUUGGCCACGCAAGCCAAGCUUUUUCUGAUGCAACUUUGAAAGAGAUUGUUGUAGCUAGGGAAAUUUACAACUGAAGUCAGUUCUAUGCGUCACAAACUGAAUCCAUCCUUCUAUUUGGAACAUAUACCAAUGAGAAACCUCGGUAUCCAUUUGUUUACCUACAGUUUCAGCGAAACAAACUGGAGUCUUCGCGACUGGUUUUCGUAAAAUGAGGUUAUUUUCACCUGCAGUUUCCCUGGAAUCAAUCUUGAGUUUUAGGGGAAACUUUAGAUUUCAAUGAACUUGAAUACAUGCACCGUCCAGCUAUAGGACUGUAUUCCUUUCUAAGCUGAAAGAGGAGAAAUAUGUUUGGAACUCCCUGGAAGGAAAAAUUUUGGCGCGUCUUGCUUCCAAACACUUCAGUUUUCACACAAUCAGGGCAAGAAGAUCACACAUUGCUCCAACAUUGCAAUAUACUUAAGGUGUCCGAAACUUGAGCAUUGAUUCAGUAUCAUUUUUCUUUUGCAGCUGGAGUUCUUAGCAUUUCAUUAACAAGAGGAGUGGAAACCGAGAUAGAGAGCUGUUGUCGCAUAUCAUGCUAAAUCAAGGUAAGCCUUGAAUAUCUGUAUGGAUCUGUAGAACUCCUGCUCUUCACAGAUCAGAAACAGUGCAUUCCUUGUUUUACCUACUUUUUUGUUUUGUUUAUUUUUCUUGGUAUAGCGUUGGAUAAGCGUUCUGCCUGCCUCAAGAUUGGCCACAAUGCAAGCCCAGAGGCGAACACGUCACUCAGUUGAAAAUAUGAGUAUAUAUACUCUGUCUUCUCUGUUGCUGGCUCGCUAUUACAUAAUUUAUUGUUAACGGUGACGUUAUGCCUUUCGUUGAGAGCUCCCUUUCUUGUACACAGUGAAUUUACGCUUAUAUCAGUGAUGUACUUGCCCAUUGUUACCAAAAUCAAGAAGGCGUGGAUGCCGGCACCGACACUGUUGAUGUGAUAACAAAACAAGAGGAGUUUUCUGUGUAUACUUACUGCCGACUACGAUGCAAGGCUAAGACGAAAUACACUCCAUGAAAAUUGAUUACAAAUUGUGACAACUCUAAGAAACAUCAGGAGAGAAUCGCAAUCAAGCAGAACGGGGGAUAAUUAGUUGGAUGUUGUACAGACUGAUUUACUAUUACAAAUAAAUGUGUUUGUAACGGUAAUCAUAAUGGUUUGAUGCUCUUUGACGUUAAGGAUGAAGAGUCUAUGCAUGUAGUUGAAUGGCAUUAUUGUCAAAGUUUAAAAUAUAUAGUGUUUCUGAAUAGUGUUCGAAGACUGUUUUUGUAAGUUGUUAUGUAUUAUUUAAAUUGGCCAAAUAAUGCUAAGUGUAAAAGUGUACUAUAAAAAAUUUCUAAGUGUGUUUCUAC